rfam:Termitomyces sp. J132 unplaced genomic scaffold scaffold158, whole genome shotgun sequence.
ACACUGAUGGUGAAGUGGUUAUCAUGCUUGCCUUCCAUGGUGAUAAUAAGUUGCCCUUGAAGCAAGCGGCAGGGGUUCGAUUCCCCUUCAGUGUA